rnacentral:snoRNA from 1 species
GUGGCUGUCUUCACUGCUGGCUGCAUUUGCUAGAAAUGGAAUGCAACCGUUAAGCAGCCACAAACAGUAAAGCAAAUGGUUCCUGCCGACAGUGUCUGUAGAGUUAUCGGAUUUUUCUGUGCGAUGGUUCCAUACACU